GUCGAGCGGAACGAUCCUAGCUUGCUAGGAGGCGUCGAGCGGCGGACGGGUGAGUAAUGCAUAGGAAUCUGCCCGGUAGUGGGGGAUAACCUGGGGAAACCCAGGCUAAUACCGCAUACGCCCUACGGGGGAAAGCAGGGGAUCUUCGGACCUUGCGCUAUCGGAUGAGCCUAUGUCGGAUUAGCUAGUUGGUGAGGUAACGGCUCACCAAGGCUGCGAUCCGUAGCUGGUCUGAGAGGAUGAUCAGCCACAUCGGGACUGAGACACGGCCCGAACUCCUACGGGAGGCAGCAGUGGGGAAUAUUGGACAAUGGGCGAAAGCCUGAUCCAGCCAUGCCGCGUGUGUGAAGAAGGCCUUCGGGUUGUAAAGCACUUUCAGUGAGGAAGAAAGCCUUGAGGUUAAUACCCUCGAGGGAGGACAUCACUCACAGAAGAAGCACCGGCUAACUCCGUGCCAGCAGCCGCGGUAAUACGGAGGGUGCGAGCGUUAAUCGGAAUUACUGGGCGUAAAGCGCGCGUAGGCGGCUUGAUAAGCCGGUUGUGAAAGCCCCGGGCUCAACCUGGGAACGGCAUCCGGAACUGUCAGGCUAGAGUGCAGGAGAGGAAGGUAGAAUUCCCGGUGUAGCGGUGAAAUGCGUAGAGAUCGGGAGGAAUACCAGUGGCGAACGCGGCCUUCUGGACUGACACUGACGCUCAGGUGCGAAAGCGUGGGUAGCAAACAGGAUUAGAUACCCUGGUAGUCCACGCCGUAUACGAUGUCGACUAGCCGUUGGGCUCCUUGAGAGCUUUGUGGCGCAGUUAACGCGAUAAGUCGACCGCCUGGGGAGUACGGCCGCAAGGUUAAGACUCAUAUGAAUUGACGGGGGCCCGCACAAGCGGUGGAGCAUGUGGUUUAAUUCGAUGCAACGCGUAGAACCUUACCUA
rnacentral:rRNA from 1 species